UCAAACUUGGUCAUUUAGAGGAAGUAAAAGUCGUAACAAGGUUUCCGUAGGUGAACCUGCGGAAGGAUCAUUACAGAGUUUGGUGCCUUCGGGUGCUUACUCCCACCAUUUGUGAACUUUAUAACCGUUGCUUUGGCGGACCGGCUUCUGCCCUCCGGCUUAAACUCUGGAGAGCGUCCGCCAGGGACCUUUUUAAACCAGUUUAACUUGAAAUCUGAGUCAAAACAAAUAAAAACAAAACUUUCAACAACGGAUCUCUUGGUUCUGGCAUCGAUGAAGAACGCAGC
rnacentral:misc_RNA from 1 species